rnacentral:rRNA from 1 species
AUUGAACGCUGGCGGUAGGCCUAACACAUGCAAGUCGGACGGUAGCACAGAGAGCUUGCUCUCGGGUGACGAGUGGCGGACGGGUGAGUAAUGUCUGGGGAUCUGCCCGAUAGAGGGGGAUAACCACUGGAAACGGUGGCUAAUACCGCAUAACGUCGCAAGACCAAAGAGGGGGACCUUCGGGCCUCUCACGAUCGGAUGAACCCAGAUGGGAUUAGCUAGUAGGCGGGGUAAUGGCCCACCUAGGCGACGAUCCCUAGCUGGUCUGAGAGGAUGACCAGCCACACUGGAACUGAGACACGGUCCAGACUCCUACGGGAGGCAGCAGUGGGGAAUAUUGCACAAUGGGCGCAAGCCUGAUGCAGCCAUGCCGCGUGUAUGAAGAAGGCCUUCGGGUUGUAAAGUACUUUCAGCGGGGAGGAAGGCGAUGUGGUUAAUAACCGCAUUGAUUGACGUUACCCGCAGAAGAAGCACCGGCUAACUCCGUGCCAGCCGCCGCAGUAA